CGAGUUGGCCGGGCGGCCGCGGCCCGCUGGUGACGGCGGGUCGAGGAAAGUCCGGACUUCACAGAGCAGGGUGAUUGCUAACGGCAAUCCGAGGUGACUCGCGGGACAGUGCCACAGAAAGCAGACCGCCUCCCGGACCCGAUUCGUCGGGACGGGCGGUAAGGGUGAAACGGUGCGGUAAGAGCGCACCAGCAUCCCGGGUGACCGGGGUGGCUCGGUAAACCCCACCCGAAGCAAGGCCAAGAGGCCGCACCGCAAGGUGCGGCUGCGCAGGCGUUCGAGGGCUGCUCGCCCGAGCCUGCGGGUAGGCCGCUCGAGGUACCCGGCGACGGUGUGCCCAGAUGGAUGGUCGCCGCCGCUGCGCUUGCGUGGCGGAACAGAAUCCGGCUUACAGGCCAGCUCGUCCG
rnacentral:RNase_P_RNA from 1 species